GACGAACGCUGGCGGCGUGCCUAAUACAUGCAAGUAGAACGCUGAAGCGAGGAGCUUGCUCUUCUUGGCUGAGUUGCGAACGGGUGAGUAACGAGUAGGUAACCUGCCUUGUAGCGGGGGAUAACUAUUGGAAACGAUAGCUAAUACCGCAUAACAAUGGAUGACCCAUGUCUUUUAUUUGAAAGGGGCAAAUGCUCCACUACAAGAUGGACCUGCGUUUUAUUAGCUAGUAGGUGAGGUAACGGCUCAACUAGGCGACGAUACAUAGGCGGCCUGAGAGGGUGGAUCGCCCCCCUGGGACUGAGACACGGCCCAGACCCCCAAGGGAGGCAGCAGGAGGGAAUCUUCGGACAGUGGGGCAACCCUGACCGAGCAAAGCCGGGGGAGGGAAGAAGGGUUUCGGAUCGGAAAGAUCUGUUGUAAGUCAAGAACGAGUGUGAGAGUGGAAAGUUCACACUGUGACGGUAGCUAACCAGAAAGGGACGGCUAACUACGUG
rnacentral:rRNA from 1 species